ensembl:lncRNA
AUCACACACUGGUUUCUCAUCUAGCCACAGAGCAUGCCUAUGAGUCUUGGUAACAGCUCCCGGGAGAUCACUGGCUUAAGCCAGUUCUUGUUAGGCUGUUGACAACUAGGUCCUGAUGAGGGAAGCACUAAUGGGCCCCUGGCUCGCUCUCUGCCCGCCCCCUGACUGAUCAGGCUUUGGGUUCCAGUGGGCUUGAUGGCUCCAUGACAGAGCUUUUCUUGCCUGCGAUAGGGGUUAGGCCUGCAAGAGAGUUUUCUUUACAGCCAGUGAACUUUUCACUUCUCCCCAUUGUGCUCUGGAUUUGGAAGACGCUUAAGACAGACGCUGAAAUGUUAAAGGUGGGAGUAUCUCCAGCCUGGUUCAAAUGCCUCUUCUUCAGGCGUCCCUGGUGGUCCAGCGGUUUAAGUAUUCACCUUGCAAUGUAAGGGACACCAGUUCAAUUCCUGAUCUGGGAGGAUCCCACAGGCCAUGGAGCAUCUAAUCCCCUGCGCUGCAACUACUGAAGGCUGAGCUCCUAGAGCCUGUGCUCCGCAAUGAGAAGCCACCGCAGUGAGAAACCACACGUGACAAGGGAGGAGCCACCACUCGCUGCAACCAGAGGAAGCCCACGUGCAGCAACAAAGUCCCAACCCAACCAAAAAA